rnacentral:misc_RNA from 1 species
GAUGAAGAACGCAGCGAAAUGCGAUAAGUAAUGUGAAUUGCAGAAUUCAGUGAAUCAUCCAAUCUUUGAACGCAUCUUGCGCUCCUUGGUAUUCUGAGGAGCAUGCCUGUUUGAGUGUCAUUAAAUUCUCAACCGCACUGACUUUGAAUUGGUGUGGCUUGGAUUUGGGGGGAAAAUUGUUGUGGGCUUUUUUGUAUAGUCUGCUCCCCUGAAAUUGAUUAGCGGUACCUUUGUGGAACUGUCUACAGGUGUGAUAAUUAUCUACAUCCUAGACAUCUGCUGGAAUGCUGCUUUCUAAACCUUACUUGUAUUGACCAUCUUGACCUCAAAUCAGGUAGGACUACCCGCUGAACUUAAGCAUAUCAAUAAGCGGAGGA